rnacentral:rRNA from 1 species
UCGAGAAUCUUCCGCAAUGGACGCAAGUCUGACGGAGCGACGCCGCGUGAUUGAUGAAGUCUUUCGGGAUGUAAAGAUCUUUUUAUGUAGGAGAAAGUUUUGAUAGUACUACAUGAAUAAGGGGUUGCUAAACUCGUGCCAGCAGCAGCGGUAAUACGAGUACCCCAAGCGUUAUCCGGAAUUAUUGGGCGUAAAGGGUGUGUAGGCGGUAAUGUUAGUCUCUUGUCAAAGCCUCCGGCUCAACCGGAGAAUUGCGGGGGAAACGGCAUAACUAGAGAGUGUGAGAGGUUUGCGGAACUCAUGGUGUAGGGGUGAAAUGCGUAGAUAUCUGGAGGAACACCGGUGGCGAAGGCGGCAUCCUGGACCGGUAUUGACGCUGAGGCGCGAAAGCCAGGGGAGCAAACGGGAUUAGAUACCCCAGUAGUCCCUGAGCGGGCUGGCAAGGCGCAU